rnacentral:lncRNA from 1 species
ACCUGCUUUUGGAAUUGCUAAAACAUAUAACCGCUUGUCAGUUUCAUGCCAACUAUCCACAGAGACACAUUUAGCUGACUACUUCUUGGCACCGUGUCAAGUAAUAAAAAGAUCAUCUGCAUUUAUAAACUGUGUUUAUUAGCUUCUUAUAGUCGUAGAAAGCUUCUGUUAUACUUCUUUUGUUUCGUGGAACUACAUUAUAUUUUCUAUAUCUUGCAAGUACGGUGUUUAGAUGAUGCUACAGGCCUUUUAGGUCUUAUUGUUCAAAUUACCACAGAGAAAGGACGAUAUGUAGCAAGAAGUUAUAAUCCUCGGUAAUAACUAUGUAUGCCAUCUUCUUACUUCAUCAAUUUAUUCAAUUUAUCCAUACAGUGAGUUUAUGUGUAUCAAGCCAAAUUUCUCAAGGUCAUAUAUUGUUUUUGUAAAGAAAUUAAAAGGUGUAUAUGAAAACACUUUUACUCUCAGGCAGCUUAAUACAUCUACUGCGGUGCUCUUCUUUUUGAAAUCUUUCUAACACUUGAUGAAAAGGGGAAUCGCAAAAGAACAGCUUCUUUCUGAUAAUCGAAUAAUAGAACACCAAGCUUACAGGUAGGGGCUACUCACCGAGAUUACAAGUCGUCAACUCUCUAUUUCAGCUGAUCCGAUGCCACAUCAAGUGGCAAACACAUCUCCCCCACCAAUCCUAAUACCAAUAUGGAAGUUCCAAGUUUUAUCUUCUUCUGAAAAUAACAAGAAUAUAGAUUAUUUGUCAACAUAAUUAAUGAAGGGAGAAUUUGUGAAAUAACCAAAAAAAAGCCAAAAUUAAAUUUUUAGAGAGAGGGGUG